rnacentral:rRNA from 1 species
UACGUAGGGGGCAAGCGUUGUCCGGAUUUAUUGGGCGUAAAGAGCGUGUAGGCGGCCAGACAGGUCCGUUGUGAAAACUCGAGGCUCAACCUCGAGAUGUCGAUGGAAACCGUGUGGCUAGAGUCCGGAAGAGGAGAGUGGAAUUCCUGGUGUAGCGGUGAAAUGCGCAGAUAUCAGGAAGAACACCAAUGGCGAAGGCAGCUCUCUGGGACGGUACUGACGCUGAGACGCGAAAGCGUGGGGAGCGAACAGG